rnacentral:rRNA from 1 species
AACGAACGCUGGCGGCAGGCUUAACACAUGCAAGUCGAACGCCCCGCAAGGGGAGUGGCAGACGGGUGAGUAACGCGUGGGAACAUACCCUUUUCUACGGAAUAGCUCUGGGAAACUGGAAUUAAUACCGUAUACGCCCUACGGGGGAAAGAUUUAUCGGGGAAGGAUUGGCCCGCGUUGGAUUAGCUAGUUGGUGGGGUAAAGGCCUACCAAGGCGACGAUCCAUAGCUGGUCUGAGAGGAUGAUCAGCCACAUUGGGACUGAGACACGGCCCAAAUUCCUACGGGAGGCAGCAGUGGGGAAUAUUGGACAAUGGGCGCAAGCCUGAUCCAGCCAUGCCGCGUGAGUGAUGAAGGCCUUAGGGUUGUAAAGCUCUUUCACCGAUGAAGAUAAUGACGGUAGUCGGAGAAGAAGCCCCGGCUAACUUCGUG